UGUCUCAUAUGUUUAUCUACAUCUUGUGACAGUUGCUGGUGAAUAAUAGGACAGCAAGCGCCAGUGAAAUAGUUGCUUCAGCACUUCAUGACAAUUGCAAAGCUGUUCUUGUUGGCGAAAGGACUUUUGGCAAGGGCUUAAUCCAAUCUGUAUUUGAACUUCAUGAUGGUUCUGGUAUUAUCGUCACAGUUGGCAAAUACAUGACACCAAAC